rnacentral:misc_RNA from 1 species
GAUGAAGAACGUAGCGAAAUGCGAUAAGUAAUGUGAAUUGCAGAAUUCAGUGAAUCAUCGAAUCUUUGAACGCACAUUGCGCCCGCCAGUAUUCUGGCGGGCAUGCCUGUUCGAGCGUCAUUACAACCCUCAGGCCCCCGGGCCUGGCGUUGGGGAUCGGCGGAGCCCCCCGUGGGCACACGCCGUCCCCCAAAUACAGUGGCGGUCCCGCCGCAGCUUCCAUCGCGUAGUAGCUAACACCUCGCGACUGGAGAGCGGCGCGGCCACGCCGUAAAACACCCAACUCUUCUGAAGUUGACCUCGAAUCAGGUAGGAAUACCCGCUGAACUUAAGCAUAUCAAUAAGCGAAGGA